CUGUUCAGCUCACUCAGAAAUAUGGAAAUAGAAUGCAACUAUGGAUCGGAGAAUAGCACUGAUUGGAGCCAGUUCACAACCUGGGAUAGCUAAGGCUACCUUGCCUGAAGACAUGGGAUUGCCGUAGAAGUCACAUGCCAAGCAAGAACUUGCUCCUUUCACUUCCCUAGCUGUAAAUCGAGCAGGGCGUACGAGCGAACCAACGUAUGCGAGCUAGCGAUUCCCAAGUGGUCGUUAAUAGAUAGAGGUUGCUUUAGUUCUCCCGGGAAAGAUGCCAAUCUGGUUAGUGUUCAGUCUACCUUUCAAUAAUAGGACGAAUGCGCCUAGCUUCCGGCGGAGAUAGUAGUCUCGUU
rnacentral:misc_RNA from 1 species